rnacentral:rRNA from 1 species
AUUGAACGCUGGCGGCAUGAUUUACACAUGCAAGUCGAACGGUAACAGGCCGCCAGGUGCUGACGAGUGGCGAACGGGUGAGUAAUGCAUCGGAACGUGCCCAGUCGUGGGGGAUAACUACUCGAAAGAGUAGCUAAUACCGCAUACGAUCUAUGGAUGAAAGCGGGGGACUGUAAGGCCUCGCGCGAUUGGAGCGGCCGCUGUCAGAUUAGGUAGUUGGUGGGGUAAAGGCUCACCAAGCCAACGAUUUGUAGCUGGUCUGAGAGGACGACCAGCCACACUGGGACUGAGACAUGGCCCAGACUCCUACGGGAGGCAGCAGUGGGGAAUUUUGGACAAUGGGCGCAAGCCUGAUCCAGCAAUGCCGCGUGCAGGAAGAAGGCCUUCGGGUUGUAAACUGCUUUUGUACGGAACGAAACGGCUCUGGUUAAUACCCGGGGCUAAUGACGGCACCGUAAGAAUAAGCACCGGCUAACUACGUG